rnacentral:misc_RNA from 1 species
GAUGAAGAACGCAGCGAAAUGCGAUAAUUAAUGUGAAUUGCAGAAUUCCGUGAAUCAUCGAGUCUUUGAACGCACAUUGCGCCUCAUGGCAUUCCGUGAGGCAUGCCCAUCUCAGCGUUAGAAAAUAUUCUCAAAUUUUAGUUUUGUGCUAAAAUUUGGAUCAUGUCAAAGAAGCUAUUACUAUUAUUGUGAUCGCUCUUUGGAAAUUGAUAGGUCUUUGAGUUGCUACUCAUAGAACGUGAUGAAUCUUUCUUCGUUCUAUUGUAAUUCACUCUGGUAGUCCUAAAACUUGUAUGCCUGUGGCAUAUCUUGUAAUUUGACCUGAGAUUGGGUAGGGAUACCCGCUGAACUUAAGCAUAUCAAUAAGCGGAAGA